rnacentral:rRNA from 1 species
UACGUAGGUGGCGAGCGUUGUCCGGAUUUAUUGGGCGUAAAGAGCUCGUAGGCGGUUCGGCAAGUCGGGUGUGAAACCCCCAGGCUCAACCUGGGGACGCCACCCGAUACUGCUGUGACUUGAGUCCGGUAGGGGAGCGUGGAAUUCCUGGUGUAGCGGUGGAAAUGCGCAGAUAUCAGGAGGAACACCAGCGGCGAAGGCGGCGCUCUGGGCCGGAACUGACGCUGAGGAGCGAAAGCGUGGGUAGCAAACAGG